CCUUCGGAACACAAUACCCUCGGGAAACUGAGGCUAAUAGUGUAUACCACAGUCCACCUGGAAUGAGGACUGUGCCAAACGCUCCGGCGCCGAAGGAUGUGGCUGCGGCCGAUUAGGUAGACGGUGGGGUAACGGCCCACCGUGCCAAUAAUCGGUACGGGUCAUGAGAGUGAGAACCCGGAGACGGAAUCUGAGACAAGAUUCCGGGCCCUACGGGGCGCAGCAGGCGCGAAACCUUUACACUGCACGACAGUGCGAUAAGGGAAUCCCAAGUGCGUAGGCAUAGAGCCUACGCUUUUGUCCACCCUAGGGCGGUGGACGAAUAAGGGCUGGGCAAGACCGGUGCCAGCCGCCGCGGUAAUACCGGCAGCCCAAGUGAUGGCCGAUUUUAUUGGGCCUAAAGCGUCCGUAGCUGGCCGCACAAGUCCAUCGGAAAAUCCACCCGCUCAACGGGUGGGCGUCCGGUGGAAACUGUGUGGCUUGGGACCGGAAGGCGCGACGGGUACGUCCGGGGUAGGAGUGAAAUCCCGUAAUCCUGGACGGACCGCCGAUGGCGAAAGCACGUCGCGAGAACGGAUCCGACAGUGAGGGACGAAAGCUAGGGUCUCGAACCGGAUUA
rnacentral:rRNA from 1 species